rnacentral:rRNA from 1 species
GUCCACGCCCUAAACGAUGUCAACUGGUUGUUGGACGGCUUGCUGUUCAGUAACGAAGCUAACGCGUGAAGUUGACCGCCUGGGGAGUACGGCCGCAAGGUUGAAACUCAAAGGAAUUGACGGGGACCCGGCACAAGCGGUGGAUGAUGUGGUUUAAUUUCGAUGCAACGCGAAAACCUUAACCUACCCUUGACAUGCCAGGAACUUACCAGAGAUGGUUUGGUGCUCGAAAGAGAGCCUGGACACAGGUGCUGCAUGGCCGUCGU